GGCAAGUAUUUGAAAGGACUGUGAAAACAAACGAAGCUUUGCUACCCACACGAUGAACAAUAGGCUGGUGCUGAAACUAAUAAAUUUUGUCAAAUUCAACAAAUCACACAUACUUACUCGUAUUUCUAGCUAAGCAUACACACACACAUACACAUACACAUACACACAUUGAAACGUUGGCGGAAAUCAUUUAAGCUGCCAAAUCAGCCAAGCAGCUGGGCCAAAGCUGGCGUCAAGCUGAAGGUAUUAUUAAGGUAGUGACUGCGGCUGAGGCUGUGGCAGCGGCAGCAGAAUGGCCAGAUGCCGGGGCAAAAAAGGCGAUUAAUAUUCAUUCAGUGUCGCGCGUAUAUCACUUUUUAUUUGCACAGCCAACGAGCGCGCGCCGGCAAGUAUGCAAUGGAAUUCGCCGCACGCAGCAGCAGCCACCGUACCCAGCUCCCAAAUCGCCAAAGAGCAAUCGUGCAGCAACAGACCAGACCAAACCCCAACAGAACCAAAGCGGACCAGCACAAGAGCCGACUCGGUCUUUGCGUGUAUGUUUGCGAUUGUGUGUGUGUGUGUGUGUCUGUGUGUGUGUGAAAAUCUCUUCGCUUUUGGACGCCCGCUUCCCCAAGGAGACGAGCACUUCAAAUUGGAUGCCCAAACAUCAAGUCAGCGUGCUGCGAGUCUGCCAAGACGAAAGCACUUGCAGAUGCAAUUUCGCAGCCUUUCGAUGCCCGUUGCUCUAUGCCCGAUGCUAGAGCAUUUUUCGGUUUCUAUGUGAAAAUUGAGAAAAAUUGCCAAACGACUUGACACUGCCAGCAAGUCACAAAGGCAGAAACGAUGUUGCGUCAAAUCAAAUGAAAUUCGACUGCUGUCCAGCGUGUUGCGUUACAGUUGAAAUGUGGGCGGGCCAAUGGGCACGGCCCACAAAAUUACCACUGGGAUCAGAGCAAAUGACGCGAAACAGUCACACGAGCAGGACCAAAGCAGAGAGUGAGCGAGAGAUUGUGGGCGGUAAAGCGAGUAGCAGCAACAACAAAAACAUGCCUUACAUAACAAGUAACGGGUACUCCAGUUGAUAUUGGCCGACUAGAAGAUGCCCUGUACUUAUGUGCGCAUAAAGAUCAAGGCUAUGCUAUCAUACAUUUGCUGCCUCUAGCACAGCCCCCAGUAAGGAGAAGAGCCAGGCCAACAAUGGACGUCUUCAGUUUCAAUGGCCCGUUUAGCUACUGCUGCCUGCUUUGCUGCUGGCUCGUAAGCUGAGACUGAUUGUGGGGCCGUUGUAAGUCGUAUCCAGAUAAAUGCCGCAUCAUUGGUUAUUUAUAUGCGUGCAUCGCAGCGGGGCACAGUGGCUCAAGCUGCUGUGCCAGCCACCUGGCCCUUAUCCAACUCUUACCUGAGCUCAAACGAUAUAUUUAUUUGAUUUCAUUGAUGAAUGUACGUAACCGCUUGGAAGUAUUUUCGUCAUGGCUACCGCUCCAGUGGCUUAUGUCGUCUCCUUAACCUAACUUGCCCCGGCAAUGUGCAUAGUUUCAGUUUUGAUGGCUGGCAAAACAAUAUGAACGCACAACAGUCUGUUGAGACACGCGCAAUACGUAAUUGAAGCUGCCUGAAAGUCGUGUGUGUGUGUGGGAGUUUGUGGCGAAAUUAAUUAAAUGGCAUUCAAAUGAUUGGCUACGUGCCAUUAUUAAUUUGCGCAUAAAUUAUGCA